rnacentral:rRNA from 1 species
UGGGGAAUAUUGCACAAUGGGCGAAAGCCUGAUGCAGCGACGCCGCGUGAGGGAUGACGGCCUUCGGGUUGUAAACCUCUUCCAGUAGGGACGAAGCGCAAGUGACGGUACCUGCAGAAGAAGCACCGGCUAACUACGUGCCAGCAGCCGCGGUAAUACGUAGGGUGCGAGCGUUGUCCGGAAUUACUGGGCGUAAAGAGCUCGUAGGCGGUUUGUCACGUCGUCUGUGAAAUCCUAGGGCUUAACCCUGGACGUGCAGGCGAUACGGGCUGACUUGAGUACUACAGGGGAGACUGGAAUUUCUGGUGUAGCGGUGGAAUGCACAGAUGUCAGGAAGAACACCGAUGGCGAAGGCAGGUCUCUGGGUAGUAACUGACGCUGAGGAGCGAAAGCAUGGGUAGCGAACAGG